rnacentral:rRNA from 1 species
AAGCAAUUGCUUCACUCAAAGAUGAUCCCGCGUUGUAUUAGCUAGUUGGUAAGGUAAAGGCUCACCAAGGCGAUGAUACAUAGCCGACCUGAGAGGGUGAUCGGCCACAUUGGGACUGAGACACGGCCCAAACUCCUACGGGAGGCAGCAGUAGGGAAUCUUCGGCAAUGGGGGCAACCCUGACCGAGCAACGCCGCGUGAGUGAAGAAGGUUUUCGGAUCGUAAAACUCUGUUGGUAGAG